AUUGAACGCUGGCGGCAUGCCUUACACAUGCAAGUCGAACGGUAACAGGUCUUCGGAUGCUGACGAGUGGCGAACGGGUGAGUAAUACAUCGGAACGUGCCUAGUAGUGGGGGAUAACUACUCGAAAGAGUGGCUAAUACCGCAUGAGAUCUACGGAUGAAAGCAGGGGAUCGCAAGAACUUGUGCUACUAGAGCGGCAGAUGGCAGAUGAGGUAGUUGGUGGGAUAAAAGCUUACCAAGCCGACGAUCUGUAGCUGGUCUGAGAGGACGAUCAGCCACACUGGGACUGAGACACGGCCCAGACUCCUACGGGAGGCAGCAGUGGGGAAUUUUGGACAAUGGGCGAAAGCCUGAUCCAGCAAUGCCGCGUGCAGGAUGAAGGCCUUCGGGUUGUAAACUGCUUUUGUACGGAACGAAAAGCCCUGGGUUAAUACCCUGGGGUCAUGACGGUACCGUAAGAAUAAGCACCGGCUAACUACGUGCCAGCCGCCGCCGUAA
rnacentral:rRNA from 1 species